GAUGAAGAACGUAGCGAAAUGCGAUAAGUAAUGUGAAUUGCAGAAUUCCGUGAAUCAUCGAAUCUUUGAACGCACAUUGCGCCCCCUGGCAUUCCGGGGGGCAUGCCUGUCCGAGCGUCAUUUCUGCCCUCAAGCACGGCUUGUGUGUUGGGUGUGGUCCCCCCGGGGACCUGCCCGAAAGGCAGCGGCGACGUCCGUCUGGUCCUCGAGCGUAUGGGGCUCUGUCACUCGCUCGGGAAGGACCUGCGGGGGUUGGUCACCACUAUAUUUUACCACGGUUGACCUCGGAUCAGGUAGGAGUUACCCGCUGAACUUAAGCAUAUUCAAUAAGCGGAGGA
rnacentral:misc_RNA from 1 species